rnacentral:rRNA from 1 species
GAUGAACGCUGGCGGCGUGCCUAAUACAUGCCAGUCGAGCGAACAGACGAGGCGCUUGCUCCUCUGACGUUAGCGGCGGACGGGUGAGUAACACGUGGAUAACCUACCUAUAAGACUGGGAUAACUUCGGGAAACCGGAGCUAAUACCGGAUAAUAUAUUGAACCGCAUGGUUCAAUAGUGAAAGACGGUUUUGCUGUCACUUAUAGAUGGAUCCGCGCCGCAUUAGCUAGUUGGUAAGGUAACGGCUUACCAAGGCAACGAUGCGUAGCCGACCUGAGAGGGGGAUCGCCCACACGGGAGCGGGGACGCGGUCCAGGCUCCUACGGGAGGCAGCAGUAGGGAAUCUUCCGCAAUGGGCGAAAGCCUGACGGAGCAACGGCGCGUGAGUGAUGAAGGUCUUCGGAUCGUAAAACUCUGUUAUUAGGGAAGAACAAAUGUGUAAGUAACUAUGCACGUCUUGACGGUACCUAAUCAGAAAGCCACGGCUAACUACGUG